AUUGAACGCUGGCGGUAUGCUUAACACAUGCAAGUCGAACGGCAGCACAGCAGAGCUUGCUCUGUGGGUGGCGAGUGGCGGACGGGUGAGUAAUACAUCGGGACCUACCCAGACGUGGGGGAUAACGUAGGGAAACUUACGCUAAUACCGCAUACGUCCUACGGGAGAAAGCAGGGGAUCUUCGGACCUUGCGCGGUUGGACGGACCGAUGUUCGAUUAGCUUGUUGGUGAGGUAAUGGCUCACCAAGGCGACGAUCGAUAGCUGGUCUGAGAGGAUGAU
rnacentral:rRNA from 1 species